rnacentral:lncRNA from 1 species
UCCGCCCCACAUUCGGCCCGCCUCAUUUUCAUCCCUACAUUUGAUACGAAUUCUCCCUACUUUUGUCUUAUUUUGAUAAUUUCCCAUAAACAUAGAUUGCCUACAGACAAAUCUUGUCAGCCGAAAUCAUUUUUCUAUCGAAAGUCCCACAAUUGAAAAAAAGAAUAAUCGUUUUAAGGAAAAUAACUAAGAACAAUAAAUGAAUAUGUAAAAAAUCAAG